rnacentral:tRNA from 1 species
GAGGUAGCUAAGUGGUAGAGCACUUGCCUAGCAUGUGCAAGGCCUUGGGUUCAAUUCUCAGUACUACA